rnacentral:rRNA from 1 species
UCAGCUAGAGUAUGGUAGAGGAAAGCAGAAUUUCUAGUGUAGAGGUGAAAUUCGUAGAUAUUAGAAAGAAUACCAAUUGCGAAGGCAGCUUUCUGGAUCAUUACUGACACUGAGGAACGAAAGCAUGGGUAGCGAAGAGGAUUAGAUACCCUCGUAGUCCAUGCCGUAAACGAUGUGUGUUAGACGUUGGAAAUUUAUUUUCAGUGUCGCAGCGAAAGCGAUAAACACACCGCCUGGGGAGUACGACCGCAAGGUUAAAACUCAAAUGAAUUGACGGGGACCCGCACAAGUAGUGGAGCAUGUGGUUUAAUUCGAAGAUACGCGCAGAACCUUACCAACACUUGACAUGUUCGUCGCGACUUUAAGAGAUUAAAGUUUUCGGUUCGGCCGGACGAAACACAGGUGCUGCAUGGCUGUCGUCAGCUCGUGUCGUGAGAUGUUGGGUUAAGUCCCGCAACGAGCGCAACCCUCACUUUUAGUUGCCAUCAUUAAGUUGGGCACUCUGAAAGAACUGCCAGUGAUAAGCUGGAGGAAGGUGGGGAUGACGUCAAGUCCUCAUGGCCCUUACGUGUUGGGCUACACACGUGCUACAAUGGUAUCUACAACAGGAAGCAAAACUGCGAAGUUAAGCAAAUCCUCAAAAGAUACCUCAGUUCGGAUUGCACUCUGCAACUCGAGUGCAUGAAGCUGGAAUUACUAGUAAUCGUGGAUCAGCGUGCCACGGUGAAUGCGUUCCCGGGUCUUGUACACACCGCCCGUCACACCAUGGGAGUUGGUUCUACCUUAAGGCAAGGUUUCAAACCCUUGACCACGGUAUAGUCAGCGACUGGGGUGAAGUCAUAACAAGGUAACCGUA